GCGCGGAAACCUUUAACAUGCACGAAAGUGUGAUAAGGCAACUCCUUGUGCUUAUUCCAAAAGAUACGGUCUUUUUAGUAUGUAAUGUAUACUAAGAAUAAGUGAUGGGCAAGACCGGUGCCUGCAGCCGCGGUAAUACCGGCGUCACAAGUGGAGAUCACGAUUACUGGGUCUAAAGUGUUCGUAGCUGGUCAUAUAAGUCUCUUGUGAAAGUUCUGUAGCUUAACUCAGAAUUGCAAGAGAUACUGUAUGACUUGAGACCGGAA
rnacentral:rRNA from 1 species